GCUGGGCAUGUUGGCGCAUACCUGUAAUCCCAGCCAGUCUGGGAGGCUGAGGCAGGAGAAUCGCAAGUUCAAAGCCAGCCUCAGAAAUUUAGCAAGUCCUUAAGCAACUCAGUGAGACUGUGUCUCUA
rnacentral:sRNA from 1 species